rnacentral:rRNA from 2 species
AGAGUUUGAUCCUGGCUCAGGAUGAACGCUGGCGGUCUGCUUAACACAUGCAAGUCGAACGAAUCCCUUUGGGGAUGAGUGGCGGACGGGUGAGUAACGCGUGAGAAUCUGCCAAAAGGACCGGGACAACCACUGGAAACGGUGGCUAAUACCGGAUGAGCCGCAACGUAAAAGAGGAAACUCGCCUUUUGAGGAGCUCGCGUCUGAUUAGCUAGUUGGUAGGGUAAAAGCUUACCAAGGCAUCGAUCAGUAGCUGGUCUGAGAGGAUGACCAGCCACACUGGGACUGAGACACGGCCCAGACUCCUACGGGAGGCAGCAGUGGGGAAUAUUGGGCAAUGGGCGCAAGCCUGACCCAGCAAUUCCGCGUGGGUGAAGAAGGUCUUCGGAUUGUAAAGCCCUUUCGGCGGGGACGAUGGUGACGGUACCCGCAGAAGAAGCCCCGGCCAACUUCGUGCCAGCAGCCGCGGUAAUACGAAGGGGGCUAGCGUUGCUCGGAAUCACUGGGCGUAAAGGGCGCGUAGGCGGCCUGAUAAGUCGGGGGUGAAAGCCUGUGGCUCAACCACAGAAUUGCCUUCGAUACUGUCGGGCUUGAGACCGGAAGAGGUAAGUGGAGCUGCGAGUGUAGAGGUGAAAUUCGUAGAUAUUCGCAAGAACACCAGUGGCGAAGGCGGCUUACUGGUCCGGUUCUGACGCUGAGGCGCGAAAGCGUGGGGAGCAAACAGGAUUAGAUACCCCCGUAGUCC